rnacentral:rRNA from 1 species
UACCACCUCAAGGGCUUGACAGAGGCCCAAGGGUUCGGGAGCUGUCAAGGUAUAAUACGUUAAGUAACGAGGACCGCCCCAACAUGUGGUCGGAGGCGGAAAAGUGAACUAUAAAGGGGGAGUUGACCAAAGAAGAAGAACCUCAGAGAUGAUAGGAGGAAACUCUCGCGGCGGCGGCGGAGGCCGGGGCCGCCGCCGCCGCCGCCCCUCUUCCCGCGGGGCACGGUCCUCACGCCCCUCGUCGGCACCUUCAUGGCCACGGGCCCGACGAGCGCGGAGUGGACGUCGGAGGGGACGCACGUCCGGGUGUUCGCGGCGUGGCGGACGAGGCCGUUCGCGGGGGCGUGGCAGGGGCAGGGCGAGCGGGUCAAGCUGCUGUCGGUCGAGGAGAGGCUAAUGUUGAACGACCUCCUCUGCCCGGACCAGUCCCUCAGCCGGGUGGCCGACGAGCCGCUGAAGCCCGCGUUGAUGCCGACGUCGAAGCUCCCUGCCGUGCCGCGGGUCGACGGCAGCACCGAGAGGAAGGAGGCGUUCCGGCGCCUCGCGGCCCCCCAGGCCGAGCGGAAGGAGGGGUCCCCGUACUGGUCCUCCCUCGCCUUGGCGAGGGCCGUGCUGUCCUCUUCACUGACGUAUAUGACCUGUCAGCUCACCUUCAAGUUAAGUUGUCUAUAACAGGAUUGACUGCUCGUCUGUCUGCUCUUACGUUCGAACGAGAGAAAUGACCUUUUCGUAGACUGAGGAAGGGGCACCUUCCUGGUCGAAUGCGGUAUAGCGUUAUGACUUGACGCACUAAACUUUGACAAGUAAGUCUUCAGACGGUUCUUAAGUUUCAGCGGUGUGGCAGUUGAGUUAUAUCUUCUCGGGAACGCGGGGGUCGACUCCCCGUGAGAAUAACAGCUCAUGGGUUGAUAGUUACAGAAGGAAGGUAGUCUAUCAAUGCUCAAAGUUCAGCUCUUCGGACGUUUGUUCUAAUCAUCUGUCCUCGUCGGGGGACCGUCGAGCUUGCUAUCAGGGGGAUAUCUUCCGUGAGUCAAAGUCCUCCUUCUUUAUCUCCUUCCGCUCAACAGAGGUCUCUGCGUCCAAUAACUAGAGUUCCUAACACCUGGCAGUGCAUGGCGUUUAGAAAGAGUUCACUUCCAAUGCUCACUUGGAUUCUACCUGUCGUACGGCAGCAUACAGGCGCCAGACCGUAAGCCACCAUUUGUCCCCCUUCACCUAGUUGUAUCGUUCUACCGUAGCUUGUACUGAGGACCCAGAGGGUUCCGAUUUAGGACGUACUUUCAGAUGGGCCACCUGAACCUGCUUCUUCAACUUCCGCCCUGGAAUCUCCCCGUCCAGUAUCUGGAGUUCUUAGAACAGUGAAGUCUAGGACCGUUAUAACCAGGUGGGUUUAUGUACUUAACGUUCUGCCUAAGAAGUCACGACAGAGGGUAGUCAUGAGAUCGUAGACUCCAGAGCUCAACAUGAGUCCUUCUUCUUGUGUUGGAUGUUUCGUGCGACGGUGGCUUGUGUUGAGGACUUCGAGACUUUUUCUCUAGAGAGUGCUUUCAGAUGGGCGACCUGUGCCUACUGCGGGUCCCCGACGACGAGAGCCUCGAAGGGUCGCACCUCAACCUCGUCCUCUACCCUCUGCGGAUGCUCCUAGACAAGCCCCUGAACUUGGGGCUGCUGAAGGAGUUGAAGCUGGAACUCUGUUACCUGCACCUGCCUAUGCCGCUUUACUCCAGGGGCAACUUCGAGACCCUGCUGGACCUGAACCUCCUUCCGCUCUAGGGGAGCGUCGAGACUUCUUCUCUGGACCCACGAGCCUUGAGCUGUGCUCUCGAACCUUAGGCAAACGGGCCUCACAACACCUUGUGAGGGUACAUCGUAACCGUAACCAUGGUGGAGUCAACGUCUCUAAAACUCCGACAUUGAGACGUCGACGUUCCGGACAGUUCGUUCGCCAUCAGCACUUGACUUCGACCACCAGCCAAAUAGCUAGUAUCAACACACAUUUUACGGCAACACGU